AUUGAACGCUGGCGGCAGGCCUAACACAUGCAAGUCGAGCGGAUGACGGGAGCUUGCUCCUGGAUUCAGCGGCGGACGGGUGAGUAAUGCCUAGGAAUCUGCCUGGUAGUGGGGGACAACGUUUCGAAAGGAACGCUAAUACCGCAUACGUCCUACGGGAGAAAGCAGGGGACCUUCGGGUCUUGCGCUAUCAGAUGAGCCUAGGUCGGAUUAGCUUGUUGGUGAGGUAAUGGCUCACCAAGGCGACGAUCCGUAACUGGUCUGAGAGGAUGAUCAGUCACACUGGAACUGAGACACGGUCCAGACUCCUACGGGAGGCAGCAGUGGGGAAUAUUGGACAAUGGGCGAAAGCCUGAUCCAGCCAUGCCGCGUGUGUGAAGAAGGUCUUCGGAUUGUAAAGCACUUUAAGUUGGGAGGAAGGGUUGUAGAUUAAUACUCUGCAAUUUUGACGUUACCGACAGAAUAAGCACCGGCUAACUCUGUGCCAGCAGCCGCGGUAACAC
rnacentral:rRNA from 1 species